AAUGAACGCUGGCGGCAGGCCUAACACCUGCACGUCGAGCAAAGUUGCGGACGGGUGAGUAAGGCCUAGGAAUCUACCUGGUAGUGGGGGCUAGCGUACGGAAAGGGGCCCUAAUACAGUAUCCUAUCAGCUGAGCCUAGGUCGGAUUUGCUAGUUGGUUGGGCAAAGGCCUACCAAGGCGACGAUCCGUAGCUGGUCUGAGAGGAUGAUCAGUCACACUGGAACUGAGACACGGUCCAGACUCCUACGGGAGGCAGAAGUAGGGAAUAUUGGACAAUGGGCGAAAGCCUGACCCAGCCAUGCCGCGUGUGUGAAGAAGGUCUUCGGAUUGUAAAACACUGUAAGUUGGGAGGCGUUACCAACUGAAUAAGCACCGGCUAACUUCGUGCCAGCAGCCGCGGUAAUAC
rnacentral:rRNA from 1 species